UACAGAGGUCCCAAGCGUUGUUCGGAUUCAUUGGGCGUAAAGGGUGCGUAGGCGGCGCGGUAAGUCGGGUGUGAAAACUUCAGGCUCAACCUGGAGCGGCCACUCGAUACUGCCAUGGCUUGAGUCCGGUAGGGGACCACGGAAUUCCUGGUGUAGCGGUGAAAUGCGCAGAUAUCAGGAGGAACACCGGUGGCGAAGGCGGGUCUCUGGGCCGAUACUGACGCUGAGGAGCGAAAGCGUGGGGAGCAAACAGG
rnacentral:rRNA from 1 species